UACGUAGGUGGCAAGCGUUAUCCGGAAUUAUUGGGCGUAAAGCGCGCGCAGGUGGUUUCUUAAGUCUGAUGUGAAAGCCCACGGCUCAACCGUGGAGGGUCAUUGGAAACUGGGAGACUUGAGUGCAGAAGAGGAAAGUGGAAUUCCAUGUGUAGCGGUGAAAUGCGUAGAGAUAUGGAGGAACACCAGUGGCGAAGGCGACUUUCUGGUCUGUAACUGACACUGAGGCGCGAAAGCGUGGGGAGCAAACAGGGUUAGAUACCCCUGUAGUCC
rnacentral:rRNA from 1 species